CACCUGUCUCGUCCCCAGUGGCUUUUCCAGAACUACUGCCUUCACCAUGAAGCUCCAUGAGCUUUCCCAAAUUUAUUGACCACUUCUUUCAAGUCAUUUGUCUGCACCUCUCGGAUCAUGAUUUCCAUCAUCUUCUUCCGGAUUUGGCGGACCUGUUGGUGCUGAGCAGUUUUUACCCUGAACAUCUUCAGUAAUCAGCUUGAAUUUUCUAAAUGCA
rnacentral:lncRNA from 1 species